rnacentral:ncRNA from 1 species
UUGGUAGAGGUGCGAAUUUAAUGAGUCGUUUUGCAUGAGAACGCCCGGUUCGACCGCAAUGCAAAGCAAAAGGUAAAUUUGCCGAAGAGGUUUGGUGCGGGUUCACUGGGUCUCUGGUCGUUCGCUCGAAAAGGGCUUCGACUGUCAUCAUAAUACUUAUGAUGGAGCGCUAUCGC